UACGAAGGGGGCUAGCGUUGCUCGGAAUCACUGGGCGUAAAGGGUGCGUAGGCGGGUCUUUAAGUCAGGGGUGAAAUCCUGGAGCUCAACUCCAGAACUGCCUUUGAUACUGAAGAUCUUGAGUUCGGGAGAGGUGAGUGGAACUGCGAGUGUAGAGGUGAAAUUCGUAGAUAUUCGCAAGAACACCAGUGGCGAAGGCGG
rnacentral:rRNA from 1 species